GACGAACGCUGGCGGCGUGCUUAACACAUGCAAGUCGAACGCUGAAGCACCAGCUUGCUGGUGUGGAUGAGUGGCGAACGGGUGAGUAAUACGUGAGUAACCUGCCCUUGACUCUGGGAUAAGCCCGGGAAACUGGGUCUAAUACUGGAUGCUACAUGUCACCGCAUGGUGGUGUGUGGAAAGGGUUUACUGGUCUUGGAUGGGCUCACGGCCUAUCAGCUUGUUGGUGAGGUAAUGGCUCACCAAGGCGACGACGGGUAGCCGGCCUGAGAGGGUGACCGGCCACACUGGGACUGAGACACGGCCCAGACUCCUACGGGAGGCAGCAGUGGGGAAUAUUGCACAAUGGGCGAAAGCCUGAUGCAGCGGCGCCGCGUGGGGGAUGACGGCCUUCGGGUUGUAAACCUCUUUCAGCAGGGAAGAAGCCACAAGUGACGGUACCUGCAGAAGAAGCGCCGGCUAACUACGG
rnacentral:rRNA from 1 species